AUUCCUUAAUAGAAUGAACUGGGGAGAUUUCACUACUUUUCUACUUUAUGAAGCAAGUUGUUCCAGAUAUUUUUGAAAUUUCAAAAAACAGGGGGGAGAGGUUUAAACCUUUUUAUUGAAAAUUUAGAUGACUGGUUAAAGCCCAGAAGGUGGGAAGAGUUAAUUUCAGCAGGUAUGGUGAGAAGAGAAGACAGUCCAGCUCAGCCAGGACAGGCUGUGAGAUGCUCCCUCUCCAGCUUGGCCAGUCUCCCCGGACGUUGUAGGUUUCUAUCAAACUAGAAUCCAAAGCCUGUCAAGUAGCAAGAUGGUUAUUUGGCUAAUUGAUGGUCUACAAAAGAGCUGAGAGGCAGAGACAGGCAUUCUAAAAUAGGAGAACUUUCCAACUAAUCCACGUAAAUCCAUGGAGCAAUUGAAGUGUAAUUAUAUUUUUUAUUGCAAUAUUUAUGGGGAUCUUUUAUUCUUCAGUAGAGUUCCGUUUAAGUUCAAAUGACAAACAGUUGGGGGAAUAGUAAAUGUUCUAACUAAUUAAAUGAUACAACUAAUUCUAAUUAUGCAAUUGACAUCCGUUGGGCUACAGAAGAUGUAGCUGAGUUACAAACCAACCACCAACAAUGCUGAUGCCGUUUCUGAUUUCCUUAAUAGAGCUGGACUAUUUGUAAAAAGAAAGAGAAUAUCAAUAAUAAUAAAUGACCUGAGUGAAAACUAGCUCUGAAAAUC
rnacentral:lncRNA from 1 species